UGUUUAAAUGAUUUUUGGUGCUUUGAAUUUUGUUUAUUUAAAAAUCAUUUUGAGGAAAAGGUGUUUUGGAAUUCAAAAUUUUCGAGAAAGGAGAUGAUUGAGAAUCUUUAUUUUGAGGAGAGUUUUUUUAACGGGUUUAACUUCACAAUCAUAUUAAGUUAAAUUCAUAUUAAUUAUCGUUUUUACUCCACUUUUUAUUAUUUUGACGAUAAUUUAAUAUAUGAUUUCUUAAUGCAUAUAUUCAUCAAAAUUUUGAAAUCAAAUUUGAUUUUUUGGUGAUUAAUUCAUCUUGGUUGUGAGUGUUGGAUAUGAUGAAUGGAUAUUCUCUAAUUGACUAAAAUUCGUCAAAAUUAUUUUCAAUUGUGAGAUUGUCUAAUUUAGGGGGAGUUUGAAAUUGUUUAAAAAUAAAAAAAGGAGAAAAAGAAACUCCUAAGUUUAAAAAGAUGUGGAAAGAGUUACAUCCAAAAGGAGUGUGAAAACUACCACCACAUGUAGGAAAGAGCUACCACCCCGGUCGUCCGGCAAGUGUGUGAAGCUACCACAUGAAGAUUAAAUUGAGUAACCGAAAAAGGUUGAAAAAAAAUUGAAUAUUUUAGAAUUUUCGGAGUUAUAAGGUGGUAAGUUGAAAAGAUGCUCAAAGAGCCACCCCCGGUGCCAUAUUAGUUAAAUCUCU
rnacentral:lncRNA from 1 species